CCGAUGAUAGUGCGGCAUUCGCCGUGUGAAAGUAGGACACUGCCAGAC
rnacentral:rRNA from 1 species